rnacentral:rRNA from 1 species
UACGGAGGGGGCGAGCGUUAAUCGGAAUAACUGGGCGUAAAGCGUACGCAGGCGGGCUUUUAAGUGAGAGGUGAAAUCCCCGGGCUCAACCUGGGAACAGCCUUUGAGACUGGAAGUCUAGAGCACUUUAGGGGCGAGUAGAAUUCCGAGUGUAGCGGUGAAAUGCGUAGAGAUGUGGAGGAAUACCGGUGGCGAAGGCAGCCCCUUGGAAAUGUACUGACGCUGAGGUGCGAAAGCGUGGGGAGCAAACAGG